GACGAACGCUGGCGGCGUGCUUAACACAUGCAAGUCGAACGGAAAGGCCCUGCUUUUGUGGGGUGCUCGAGUGGCGAACGGGUGAGUAACACGUGAGUAACCUGCCCUUGACUUUGGGAUAACUUCAGGAAACUGGGGCUAAUACCGGAUAGGAGCUCCUGCUGCAUGGUGGGGGUUGGAAAGUUUCGGCGGUUGGGGAUGGACUCGCGGCUUAUCAGCUUGUUGGUGGGGUAGUGGCUUACCAAGGCUUUGACGGGUAGCCGGCCUGAGAGGGUGACCGGCCACAUUGGGACUGAGAUACGGCCCAGAUUCCUACGGGAGGCAGCAGUGGGGAAUAUUGCACAAUGGGCGGAAGCCUGAUGCAGCAACGCCGCGUGCGGGAUAACGGCCUUCGGGUUGUAAACCGCUUUCGCCUGUGACGAAGCGUGAGUGACGGUAAUGGGUAAAGAAGCACCGGCUAACUACGUG
rnacentral:rRNA from 1 species